rnacentral:rRNA from 1 species
GAUGAACGCUAGCGGGAGGCUUAACACAUGCAAGCCGAGGGGUAUAUAAUUGCUUGCAAUUAUAGAGACCGGCGGAUGGGUGAGUAACGCGUAUGAAACCUGCCCUAUUCAUCAGGAUAGCCCUAGGAAACUGGGAUUAAUACUGAAUAACACUAUUAUCGGCAUCGUUAAUAGUUAAAAGAUUUAUCGGAAUAGGAUGGUCAUGCGUCAGAUUAGUUAGUUGGUAGGGUAACUGCCUACCAAGGCGAUGAUCUGUAGGGGGCCUGAGAGGGUGAUCCCCCACACUGGUACUGAGACACGGACCAGACUCCUACGGGAGGCAGCAGUGAGGAAUAUUGGACAAUGGGUGAGAGCCUGAUCCAGCCAUCCCGCGUGCAGGAAGAAUGCCUUAUGGGUUGUAAACUGCUUUUAUACAGGAAUAAACCACUUUACGUGUAUAGG